rnacentral:tRNA from 1 species
UCCCUGGUGGCUCAGACGGUAAAGAACCUGCCUGCAGUGCAGGAGACCCAGGUUCAGCCCCUGGGCGGGAAA